AACGAACGCUGGCGGCAUGCCUAACACAUGCAAGUCGAACGGGAUCCUAGCUUGCUAGGUGAGAGUGGCGGACGGGUGAGUAACACGUGGGAAUCUGCCUUUUGGUUCGGGAUAACCGCGGGAAACUGCGGCUAAUACCGAAUGCCCUCGAGAGAGGAAAGAUUUAUCGCCAGAAGAGGAGCCCGCGUCCGAUUAGGUAGUUGGUGGGGUAAAGGCCUACCAAGCCGACGAUCGGUAGCUGGUCUGAGAGGAUGAUCAGCCUCACUGGAACUGACACACGGUCCAGACUCCUACGGGAGGCAGCAGUAGGGAAUAUUGCACAAUGGGCGAAAGCCUGAUGCAGCGACGCCGCGUGAGUGAUGAAGGACUUCGGUUUGUAAAGCUCUGUUGUCAGGGAAUAAAAAAAUGAAUGUACCUGACGAGAAAGGACCGGCUAACUUCGUGCCAGCAGCCGCGGUAAU
rnacentral:rRNA from 1 species